rnacentral:lncRNA from 1 species
GAAGAAGACUAGUCGAGGUUUCGGACUGGGAACUUGUAUCCUCGUAUGUAUCUUCUUUAGCAUAGCGAGGUUUCUUCCGGCUGGACGGCUCGAGUUCGUCCAGCUUGUCAUUGUUCUCCUCUUCUAUCUCAAUAUAUGAUUGAGCUUGUUGGAAGAGGUCGGGCAGGGUCUCCACUUUAUGGAGCAUCAUAUUCUAGGC